AGCGAACGCUGGCGGCAGGCCUAAUACAUGCACGUCGCGCGGGCGUAGCAAUACGUCAGCGGCAGACGGGAGAGUAACACGUGGGAACGUGCCUUUCGGUUCGGAAUAACUCAGGGAAACUUGAGCUAAUACCGGAUAAGCCCUUCGGGGGAAAGAUUUAUUGCCAUUGGAGCGGCCCGCGUCGUAUUGGCUAGUUGGUGGGGUAAUGUCUAACCAAGGCGACGAUCCGGAGAUGGUCUGAGAGGAGGACCAGCCUCACUGGGACUGAGACACGGCCCAGACUCCGACGGGAGGCAGCAGUGGGGAAUAUUGGACAAUGGGCGCAAGCCUGAUCCAGCCAUGCCGCGUGGAUGAUGAAGGCCCUAGAGUUGUAAAGUCCUUUUAACGGGGAAGAUAAUGACGGUACCCGUAGAAUAAGCCCCGGCUAACUUCGUGCCAGCCGCCGCCGUAA
rnacentral:rRNA from 1 species